rnacentral:lncRNA from 13 species
AUGUCCUUGCCGUGUCUGAAUCCUGGCUUAGGAAGGCCACCAAAAAUUCUGAGAUUUCCAUACCCAACUAUAAAAAUUUUCCGCCAAGAUAGAAUGCAACUCCGCCCCCUUUGGCAGUUCUACUGCAGAGAUAUUACUUUGCAGGCUGUCAUACUUUCCAGGUCGAUACCCAAACAGUUCGAACUACUAAUUAAAAAAAAUUACUCUCCAGAAAUAAGUCUCACUGUUGCUGCCUGCUACCGACCCCCCUCAGCUCCCAGCUGUGCCCUGGACACCAUUUGUGAAUUGAUCGCCCCCCAUCUAGCUUCAGAGUUUGUUCUGUUAGGUGACCUAAACUGGGAUAUGCUUAACACCCCGGCAGUCCUACAAUCUAAGCUAGAUGCCCUCAAUCUCACACAAAUCAUCAAGGAACCCACCAGGUACAACCCUAAAUCUGUAAACAAGGGCACUCUCAUCGACAUUAUCCUGACCAACUGGCCCUCCAAAUACACCUCCGCUGUCUUCAAUCAGGAUCUCAGCGAUCACUGCCUCAUUGCCUGUAUCCGCUAUGGGCCCGCAGUCAAACGACCACCCCUCAUCACUGUCAAACGCUCCCUAAAACACUUCUGCGAGCAGGCCUUUCUAAUCGACCUGGCCCGGGUAUCCUGUAAGGAUAUUGACCUCAUCCCGUCAGUUGAGGAUGCCUGGUCAUUCUUUAAAAGUAACUUCCUCACCAUCUUAGAUAAGCAUGCUCCGUUCAAGAAAUGCAGAACUAAGAACAGAUAUAGCCCUUGGUUCACUCCAGACCUGACUGCCCUCGACCAGCACAAAAACAUCCUGUGGCGGACUGCAAUAACAUUGAAUAGUCCCCGCGAUAUGAAACUGUUCAGGGAAGUCAGGAACCAAUACACGCAGUCAGUCAAAAAAGCAAAGGCCAGCUUUUUCAAGCAGAAAUUUGCAUCCUGUAGCUCUGACUCCAAAAAGUUCUGGGACACUGUAAAGUCCAUGGAGAACAAGAGCGCCUCCUCCCAGCUGCCCACUGCACUGAGGCUAGGUAACACGGUCACCACUGAUAAAUCCAUGAUAAUCGAAAACUUCAACAAGCAUUUCUCAACGGCUGGCCAUGCCUUCCUCCUGGUUACUCCAACCUAG